CAAACAUCGGAACUGUUUUGAAGUUACAGCCAAACCUUGAGAACAAACAAAUUAAUUAAUGGGUUACACAUUGUUAAAAGGUCUUUGAACAAUUAAGCACCUAUUUGGUAACAGUUGAACUGCCCUGUACGGAAUACGUUUAGUUCACCCAAGAAAGGUUAGCGACGUCCAUGUAAGGGUCCAGGUGUAGCAGAAGAUGGCAAAAGGCUAUGCCUCGCUUAUCGAAGAAGCCACUGUGCUCCUUGACAAGUAUAAUGCAGACUAACAGUGUGUGGAGGAUUUUACAGAGGAUGCUUCAAAGCACAUUGAGUAAUCUGUUACUUCAGCAUGUUCCUCCUUGAUGACAUGGGACUGCAGUGCUUCAGCAAGAUUGUGAACUCUGGACUUCAAAAAGUUAGAAACACAUUUUCUGUGGUCUAAUGGCACCAACAAUGCAAUUAUUUCACAGUUUGUGGUCAUUUUAUGGCUCAUAAAAUAAAUCAACUUUCUCGGACAAUCCAAUCGCUUA